AACGAACGCUGGCGGCAUGCCUAACACAUGCAAGUCGAACGAGACCUUCGGGUCUAGUGGCGCACGGGUGCGUAACGCGUGGGAACCUGCCCUUAGGUUCGGAAUAACUCCCCGAAAGGGGUGCUAAUACCGGAUAAUGUCUUCGGACCAAAGAUUUAUCGCCUUUGGAUGGGCCCGCGUUGGAUUAGCUAGUUGGUAGGGUAAAAGCCUACCAAGGCGACGAUCCAUAGCUGGUCUGAGAGGAUGAUCAGCCACACUGGGACUGAGACACGGCCCAGACUCCUACGGGAGGCAGCAGUGGGGAAUAUUGGACAAUGGGCGAAAGCCUGAUCCAGCAAUGCCGCGGGAGUGAUGAAGGCCUUAGGGUUGUAAAGCUCUUUUACACGGGAUGAUAAUGACAGUACCGGGAGAAUAAGCUCCGGCUAACUCCGUG
rnacentral:rRNA from 1 species